UGCGCCUUAGCCCACGCUGGCGGCGGGCCAUGCCGAAGGACGCCGUGGUCAUCGUGCGCUACGGGCCGUACAGCGCGGUCGGGCUGCCUGUGGAGUACCACCGCUUCCGCCUAGAGGGCCUGCAAGGUACCAAGGACUCACUGGUGAACAAAGAUACAUGUCCUUAAAGUGACCUUCUCAUUGCUGACUACUAGUUGACAGUGGUGCCAGGCCUCCAACAGAAGAACCUGUGUUGGCCAGAGAUGGACACAAAGUCAUCCUAGAGAAGAUAGAAGACUGGAAUGUGGUUGAACUCAUGGUAAAUGAAGAAAUCAUUUUCCACUGUAACAUCAAAGAUUUGGAGUUUGGAGGUGAUGGCAAACUAGACCCGCUGUGUGAAGAGGCCAGGAUAGCUGUCCUAAAUGCCUACUGAUCUCAUCCAAACAGGCAUCUGAAGUCAACAGAACAGCAGCUGCCUCUGGCCCUUCUGUGCAGCAAACAAAAGCAGCCACUCCAGGCCAUGGAUGCUGGGCUCUAGCAAUCAAAGGUAAUGCCAGCCCGUCCUUCAGCCUGCUCAGCAUAGUGUCUCUCACCUGGCUGCAAGGAAACAGGGCCCACAAAAAUAAUAAAAGUACAUCAUCUGCA